rnacentral:SRP_RNA from 1 species
GCUGGGCGUGGUGGCGGGCGCCUGUAAUCCCAGCUACUCGAGAGGCUGAGGCAGGAGAAUCGCUUGAACCUGGGAGACUGAGGUUGCAGUGAGCCAAGAUCACACCACCACUGCACUCUAGCCUGGGUAACAGAGUGAGACCGUGUCUCAA